AGAAGACGCGGCCGCCACGGCUCAGGCACACGCGGGCGCCCGGGGGCUGCGCGGCCGCGCCGCAGAAGGUGAAGGAACAGCGCGAGGCACGCAGCCGCCGCACCGUGGCGCGCACGAGCUCAGCCGGCCGGCGACCCCAGCGCGCCCACAGGACAGUGGCAGCCGGAAAGUGGGUUCCUGCAUGGUAACAAGACCUUAAAAUUGUGUCACUGGAGAAGGACGUGCAGUUCCCGCUGAGGAGAGACUUGGCCACUCCAGGACAACACAGGACUACAAGUCAGGAAUUUGAAGAUGAAAAGUGCUCAACAGUGAUAAAUCCUAAAUGUUUCACUGAACAACCUUUCAGAUAGCCUUCUUGAAGUUUGCUGAAUUAUGGCUAUAAGGACCACUCCCCACCCCUGCUAGGUAUGGAGAGGUCAUCUCCUCUAUCUGAAGGUGACCAACAUCUCCAGUUUUUCCAAAUUCCCUAAGGGUUUUGAGACCACACCUUCCCACAGGUACUCUAACUCCACCUGGCCAAUAGGAAUUUUCUAGGUUUACCCUUAGGUGUUUCGAGAUAUGGUCUCAGAAUACAUCAUGGGAAAAUUACAUUUUGGGGUCAAUCCUGUAUACCAAUUCUAGGUUAAAAGCAUGGGGACCACCAUGGUUCAACAUGAGCUGACCCUUGCAUUGAAGAGUACUGAUACCAUUCAUGCCUGGGGAAGGAAUAGAGGGAGGAAGAUAUGAAGGGCACAGUGAGAAGUGAAACAGUCACAUAACAAGCUCUGUUUAUGAUCCCGCCCUAAAAUGAUUUCAUUUUGCAAAGGUCAAGGAUAGAGUUGAGUUUCAUCACCCCUAUAUAACAAAGGAAUAGGGGAAGGAUGCAAAAAUAAUACACCAAGGGAUAUUAAUGUGUAUGCACCUGAUCCUCAUCCUGUAGUCCCUCACUGCUCAAAGUGUGGUCCUUAGAGCAGCAGCAGCAGCAUCACUUGGAAGCUCGCAAGAAAAGCGGAAUCCUAGGCCCCACCCAACCCCAAAUCAGCGUCUGCAUUUUGACAAAAUCCCAGGAGACUCACAAACACAUUAAAGUUAGAGAAGCACUGCUAACAUCUUCCUCUGUCAUUCCCUGGGUCUGGGCUACUCUAGACUCUAAUAAGACAUUUCCAAAAUGAUGUGGAAAAUAAGACCACAGACUAGGGAUUUUUUUUUUUUUUUUUAGAUGAAGUCUCACUUGCCCAGGUUGGAGUGCAGCGCGAUCUCAGCUCACUGCAACGUCCGCCUCCCAAGUUCAAGUGAUUCUCCUGCCUCAGCCUCCCGAGUAGCUGGGAUUACAAGCACAUGCCACCACACCUGGCUAAUUUGUGUAUUUUUAGUAGAGAUGGGGUUUCACCAUGUUGGCCAGGCUGGUCUCAAACUCCUAACCUCAGGUGAUCGUCCCACCUCAGCCUCCCAACGUGCUGGGAUUACAGGCGUGAGCCACCGCGCCCGGUCAGACUAGGGAUUUAGAAGCAAGACUUUGUCAUUUAUAAGAACACUGCAGAAAGGAACAAGAAUGACCCAGCUAGCCACUGAAGACCACCUCUGAAACCCAUCAACAUGACCGGCUUUCUAUAGGAAAAGUCUCCACAGACUCAAAAAGUCUCUAGUUUCUUGCCCUUAGGAAGGCAUGCCCUGGGAAUAAUAGUUUGGGGACAAGAGAGAGUAGAGUGUUUACUGUCCUAUCCCCCAUUAAAUACAUGGCAGAACUUCCCCAGGGAAAGCCUAUCAUACUGACAUUAACUCAGUACCUGUUUGAACUUGGAGAGCAUUCAGAAUUCUCAUCAGUCAAAUGGCCAGAGCUGAGAAGGAUAGCUUGUUUUGUUUGUUUUUGAGACAGGGUCUUGCUAUGUCACCCAGGCUGGAGGGCAGUGGUGCAAUCCCGACUCACUGCAGCCUCGACCUCGUGGGCUCAAGCAAUCCUCCCUCCUCAGUUUCCCAAAGUGUUGGGAUUACAGGCAUGAGCCACCACACCUGGCUAAUUUUUGUAUUUUUUGUAGAGACAAGGUUUUACCCUGUUGCCCAGGCUGGUUUCCAACUCCUGAGCUCAAGCCAUCUGCCCACCUUAGCCUCCCAAAGUUGUGGGAUUACAGGCACAUGCCACCACACCUGGCUAAUUUUUAUAUUUUUUUGUAGAGACAGGAUUUUGCCAUGUUGCCCAGGCUUGUCUCGAACUCCUGGAUUCAAGCAAUCUACCCGCCUCGGCCUCCCAAAGUACCGGGAUUACAAGCGUGAGCCACCGUGCCCAGCCUGGGAUACUUUCUAAGAACCAAGGAACUAUGUAGAAAAUCUUCGCCGGGCACAGUGGCUCACGCCUAUAAUCCCAGCACUUUGGGAGGCCAAGAUGGGCAGAUCACGAGGUCAGGAGAUCGAGACCAUCCUGGCUAACACAGUGAAACCCCGUCUCUAUUAAAAAAUACAAAAAAGUUAGCCAGGCGUGGUGGCGGGCGCCUGUAAUCCCAGCUACUGAGGAGGCUGAGGCAGGAGAAUGGCGUGAACCCAGGAGGCGGAGCUUGUAGUGAGCC
ensembl:lncRNA HLCS-AS1 HLCS antisense RNA 1